UUACGGCUAUAUCAUGUUGAAACACCUGUUCCCGUACGAUCGCCGAAGUAAAGAAACGUCGAGUCUGGUCAGUACUCAGAUGGGACACCGCUUGGGAAUAUCAUGUGCUGUAAG